ACAAGAGCCAGCUGAGUACAAUUAACAGCUUUUUCAUUAGCCAGCUUUUCAUGGACUGAUGUCAAAUAAACACCAGAUCCCUUAACUAGGUCUAUCAUCUACCCAAAUAACAGUUUUAGUAUCUAAUAUUCAGGGAAGUGGUGUCGCUGCUUCUUAAAUGAAAGAUAAUAAACAGAUGUGGCUAUACAAACAUUUACUGUCAACUGAUAUUUUUCCAACUUCUGUUUUUAGCUGUUUAUAUUUCUCUUUAAGUUUUUUAUACUUUCCUA